ensembl:lncRNA
UGUAGAAAAUAGUAGAAAAUGAAGACAAACCCUGGAAUGAGUAGGUGUGUCCAAAGUUUUGACUGGUACUGUAUAUCAAUUUCUAAUCGUGGUUAUAAGGCUUUAAAACCGAGUAAUAAUAAAUGGCCGAUAUAACGGUUAUCGUUGCUUUAAGGAGCGGGGUUGACCAUGUGUUCUCUCUCCGGUCUUCUGUCUGGUAACACUGAGUUUGUUUAUAUAAAAAAAUAUAUUUUGCCUGCCACUAUUUUGUAAACCGUAGUCUAGGUGUGGACCGUAGACACUGAUAUGAAAUGACUGAAAUGACAACGCUUAGAGCUGUAACUGGUUUGGGGGCAGGGGGUUAGCUGUAUGAUCCAUGGAGUUCUAUGCCUGAGUGUUCUCUGACUGCUAUGUUGGUUGGUGUCUAUGGUUUUCAUGCCAACUGGAUGGAGUUGGUGUGAGGUAGAUGGGGUCGUUGUCUGUUUUUGCUCUGAUAGAUUUUUUAAUGCCGCUUUAUCUACUUGUGCACAGUAUCUGUACCAAAAAAAACUGGAUUUAUGAACUGUAGUCUGCCUGUUUUAGAGAAGUUAAACAUUCUGUCCCAACAUUCUGUCCUUUAUUUCUGCAGUCUUUUGACUGGCUUACUUCAAGUUGUACCAAAAAUAUUUGUUGCUGUGUAUUGUCAGUGUAGCUUAGCCUAGUCCAAUAUUUGAGUACAAGCUCUCCCUCUAGACAACAGGAGAUAAAAAUGCAAUAUUUUGAUGAUCACUUUCCAAAGACAAACUUAUUUUUUAAUUUGACUAAGGCUCUCCCUGCUCAGCUUUAAAGUGGCAGCGCAAAUAUCCAAAUAGAAAGGGAUGGGAAGAAGGGAGAUCAGGGGUAUUGUCCCCCUGUAUAAAGUUAAUAUAUUUGAGUGGUGUUUAGGUUUGAAUGGUAGUGGUUAUAUGAUAUCAGUGGGUGCUUGCCCUCAAUAAUCUUUCCUGUUUCUCUACGUUUCCCCCUAUGAUGAUAUGGCGGACUGUGUUGUGAUCCUUUCUAGACUGGUGUAUCUGCUUUGGCAGCAGUUUGGGCUGUAGUCAGGCAUUCAGUAGUCGGGUAGGGGCUGUCCGUUUUAGUUUUUCUACCAAUCUUUAGCCAUGAAAUAAAAAGCUUGAACCAAAGUUGUUUUCUCACUAGCUGCUGUGCCUGUGUGCUCGCGCAAGUUGCUGUUCACACGAUCACUAACCUACACAUUACUACUGACAAGUUUUCUUCUCUUAUACCCACCUAUUUGAAUCCUUUUGGCAUCCCCCGCCUCUAACCCACUUCUAAGGAACAAGGACCUGCACGUUUUCUUCUUCUAGCUUUCUAACCACAUCCUGUUAGCAGCUCUCAGGUCACGUGGUUGAAGCCCUUCCUCUCAUCGCCCAACUAACUUUACUAUGGGGGCUCAUCCCCUGUCAGCACCAGUAAAGAUGUUAGCCCUGUGCCGCCCUUACCGAGCUGCCCCUUUCGUAAACAACAACCCCACACAACAAUAGUGUUCUUCUAUCGGCCCUAACGUAACCAGAUGAAUGACUGCCUAGUUUGAAAAAGCAGAGACAUCUCUCUACGCUAAUACAUUUUUAUGUGCUCCUUUUCUAAUCGUGAAUUACUUUGACGGAAUACCUCAGCAUCACUUAAACAUUAGGUUCACUUUAAGAAAUCUCACACCCGUAGAAUAUUGUAGAAUGUACAAGUCAGUGGAGGCUGGUGGGGGGAGCUAUAGGAGGAUGGGUUCAUUGUAAUGUCUGGAAUGGAAUCAAUGGAACGGUAUCAAACAUAUAAAUAAUAUGGAAACGGCGUGUUUGACUCCGUUCCAUCGAAUCCAUUCCAGCCAUUACAAUGAGGCCGUCCUCCUAUAGCUCCUCCCACCAGCCUCCACUGGUACACGUACCGAAUGGCUUUGCCAUUUAAAAAUAAACAAAAGAGUAAUCGUUAUCUAAAACUAGGACAAACUACUACUGCUAUUUUCUAGUACUACUACUUAUGGGGUAUUUCCAGGUUUGAACAGGUUUGACAUUAUUUUGUGAUCCUUGCCAAAGCAAAGUGAAAGCCUUUCUCUCUGCGGCUGGGUUGAUGUCUCGAUGCUGCUCACUUCACUGGUUUUCUGUCCUUGAGGUCAUGGCAGGCCGAAUGGGACUUGUAGUCCUAUUUGUAGUGCUGUUUGUAGUCGUGAACCAUUGGCCAUUGGCAACAUGGGAAGUUACUGAAAUAUUUAUCUGAGGAACGACUAAAGGAUUAGAGAUAAAUAUAUAUAUACAACUUAUGUAAGAUAUUCAUAUUUUAUAUUUGAACUAGUAUGUUAUCAAGACUGAAUGUAAUGUUUUGUCAUGCUUAUACAAAAAAAACUUUAAAAAAAACAUUUUUAUUAAUGUCAAGACCAAAAACUUUGACCGCACCCCCUUGGUGCGUGAUUUGCGGACACCUGUGCCCAUUACAUGUGUGGGUGUGGUCUCUUGAGAGAGAGGCUUGCUGUGGUGCUUCAGUCGGACAGUCCCUGCUUGUGCAGUAGCUAGGGGAACAAACAGACUGAUGCGCCUGAUCUUAAUCUUAAUUUUUUUUUGUCUGGUUGUUUGGUUUACUAUGGAUUUGAUUUGAUGUGCUGUUUUUAACAAUCAUUUGAAUGUUUUUUAAAAAUUACUUAUGCCUUUAAUUGUUUUGUAUAGCAUGAGAGGACAAGAUCACUGUCUUUCUAGGUUUGACAAAAGAUUAACAUUGACAUUUAUGCCUUAUUGUUAUUUAGAAGACAAGCAUUGUAGCAUAUUGUUGUUUGUGCGACAGUGUAUGAGAGUAAUCUAGUGAGAGAGGCUACCUCCUCGCUAGCUUUUGUGUUUAGCUAGCUCACUCAGUGCAUAAGUCUUUGCUGAAAAUCUACAGUGUAUUUUAGGCAUAAUUUGGGAGAGUGCUGUUCUGUCGCGGUUAUGUUGCAACCUAUGAUUUUAGGGGUGACUCAUACAGGUCGGAAUACCUAUAGAAAAGCUUUACUAAUAACUGAACUCCAGCAGAGGUGUGUGUGUGUGUGCGCACGUGUGUGUGUGUGCGCACGUGCAUGCGUGUGUGUGUGCGUGAGUGUGUGUGUGAUUGAGAGAAGGGAGUGCUGACUGCAGACCAUGAUGGUGCGUUUGUUUUCAGUUUACAGAGAAAGAUGAGAUUAUGAUAAAAUCAUUCAAGGGAAGAAGGGGAUGAUAAUAUUGAAUAGGUGUUUCCUUUGAGUAUAAGACUUGUGAAGUUGUGGAUCUCUCUCUGGUUCGUCUGAUGCUCUAGAAGUGGAUCUGUGUUGAUGCAUGUGGUCUACCCCCCUGUGUGGUGGGUGUAAAGGGAAAGUGCAGAACGGCACCAGUAAGUCUGGGUUAACUAGCUGGGUUAAGGGAGCUGUUGUAUACCUCAUUUUUAACUCGAGACUAAGUGAAACCUGCUUUAAUCUACUUUAGAAAUAAAAACAUGUAAAGCUGAAAAUUAUUUAAAAAACAUAAACAUAAACAUCAAGGUCCUGUCAGAGAAGCCUACAGAUGUCCAGUGUCAGUUGCAGCCACCGGGGGGAGACACGCACCAGUACCAGGAUGUCUGCUUAUUUUUUAUAAUAUUUUUUUACAAGAGCAUAACCAUCAGUCUCCCUAAACACACUGGCCUCUCAGACCUCAACCUCCAAUUGUCUCAUAAGGCUGAAAGUAUUAUCCACAUUUUUCUUUGGUUUUACCUCUGAAAUAUUUACCACUAGUAUGUACUUGAUUUACCCCUCCAUUCUGUUUUCUAUGAUUUGACAAUCCUGCCCUAUUUUAUUCUAAUUUAGAUUCUGAAUGUAGAUGUUGGUGUGUGUGUGUCUGUUCACCUGGUGUGCUCUCUUUCUUUCCUGUGGGAACGUUAACCAAAGACUUCUAAAGUGAUUGUAUAUGGACUAUACCAUCUCUCACCCCUCUCUGCCUCACUAUCCCAUGAUACACACAUUCAGCUGUGCACACCUGUAAAGUCAAUACACCUAUAUGGCAGAGCUGUGUGUGCACCGUGGACACAACUGGUACCUGUAGCAGUGCCUGUGGAUGGGGAUAGGUUGAGUGUGGAGGGGCAAAGUGGGCUUCUCUGAUGGCCAGGUCAAUUAACCAAUCCCGUGGUGGCUGGGUGAUGUUUGUUAAUACACACUGAGGGUUGAUCCUGUGCACACUGUUUAUGCUCAGGACUCACUGUCUCUGUCUGUCUGUCUGAAGAACUGUUGCUAGGACACACAUGUUCAAAGACUGUCACAAAAAUACACUGUUUCUGCCUCUUGGGUACAGUGUGUCUGUUUGGCUCCAAGUCAGUGCAUUGUAGUUGCCAGGACACAUUGUCUAAGAUACACAUUCUCUGGUUCUAGGGUACUGUUUCUGUCUCUCUGUCUCAUCGCCGUUUUCUUUCUUACAUUCCCUCCCUCAUUUCUUAUUAUGUUUCUCGAUUCUCUCUGUUCAGCUUUGACACUAUGCAUUAUGGUCCUUCACUCUGCAUGGCCUGUGUCCGAUUGGCUAAACUCUUUGGCCAAUGGGGUCCCAGGGAAGCUUUGUUUGAUGCUUUAUUCCAAGUGGGGAGUUGUAGGAUCUCACAAGCAUUAUCCCAAUGCAAAAAUAUCCAAAUAUUUAAUGUUUUACAAACGCAGAUACCAAAGAUAACUCUCUGUCCCUGUCACUCGCUCUCUCUCCCUUCCUCUCACCCUGCAGCUUGUGUAUUAAGAGACAACCCCAGCACUGGCUUUAGUUCUAGCCUCAGUAAUUCCAAAGCAUAGAUGUAUAUUUUGGUAUAUUUCUGAGAAACCUAAAUGAAAAACAUCUCGUUUGUUUGGUGUAUCGCUCUUUUUCUGUCACAGCAUGGAACUAAUUGCAGAACUGUCUUACACUUGAACUCUGGGAGCCACGCUGUCGUUGUGAUGCGCGGUUCUACCGUUCCAGUUUGGACUAGAACACUGCUCACUAUGGACACAUGCCUCAGAUCCGACUACGAAACGCCCCCCUCCAGACAUGGCGGGUGGUGGCAUAUAGAACUGAAAGAUUGUGUAGAACAUUUUAAAGUAUGUGAAUCAGGACACAUGGUAGAUUUGAUGCAUUUGUCUGCUGUAUUUUAUUUGUUUAUAUAUAUAUAUAUAUAUAUAUAUAUAUAUAAACAAUAUUUUACUGUAACUGUACAGUUCUCUUUAGUUGUAAACAUCAUUAAACCAUUUUCCAAGUGUUUUAACAUUGGAAUGUGUACUGUGUCUUUUAUUAUGUUCAAAAUAUCAACAUUACCACAUACAGCCAUAAAGGGCACAGAAAGCAGUCAAUAAACUUAACAAAUGACAUGAUAAUACACAUAGAUAAGACAUGCACACGUUUCUGCUGAUUUGUAACAUGCAAUAACAGAGCAGGGAGUUGAGCUCAGGAGUAGAACACUGCUAUAGCUAGAAAGCAGAUAACCUUUUAUGCUGUUAUCUUCAGAGAUAUAAGCUGACUGGGGGAUCAGUGCAGGGGAGAUCUGCCAAUGGAGUAAACAGCUGCCUCUGUGCCGAGGGCUGACUGGGAUCAGUGCAGGGGAGAUCUGCCAAUGGAGUAAACAGCUGCCUCCGUGCCGAGGGCUGACUGGGUCAGAUCAGUUUGGAGGUGGUGGCAGGGCGGAGGGCCGGGUCUGAGUCUGGGUGUUUGCACUGAGAGGCUGGGGGACCUUGGCUUUCUUGUCCUUCUUGCGAGUCUGUGAGAAGAGAGAACCCACAGGAAGAAUGUGUAGGUUAAUAGCCUUCAGGAGCUUUUCUACAGAUUAAGUUGGACAACAACAUUUCACUUGUGUUGCCCUAGUUUUGUCAUGUAAGUUUGAUAGCAGUUUUAUGACACGCUGAUGACUAUCCACAGUAUAGGGUAUGGAUGGCAGAGUAGAGAUUUCAUCUUUCCAUCUCUCAAAUGUACAUAACCUAUAGAUUUUCAAUGUUCUAUGUCACAAUACCAGUAAAUGCAGAUAUGUAGUUCACAUGACUCAGCACAGGGGGCUGAGUCAUGUGUUUUGUUCACUACAUGUGACUCUUACCCUCCCCUUGGACUCGAUCACCUGGUAGGCCUCACUCCCAUCAUCUUUUAUCUGGAGAGCCUAGAAAACAAAACAAGUUUUAUGGUAUUGGUCAAUGAAUGAAUAAAGCGCCCCUGGAAUGGAAGGCUUGCAGAAGUGGAUGAACCUACAUUUAGGAUCACAGUGUUCUGCAACAUCUCAGAAUUGGAACACGGUUAUAAGCCUGUGGUAUAUAAGGAGUAGUC